rnacentral:rRNA from 1 species
CACUGUGGAAUUCGCCCUUAGAGUUUGAUCCUGGCUCAGAACGAACGCUGGCGGCGUGCCUAACACAUGCAAGUCGAACGGAAUCAAGGGGCUUGCUCCUUGAUUUAGUGGCGCACGGGUGAGUAAUGCGUAGAUAAUCUACCUGAUGAUCCGGGAUAACAUUUCGAAAGGGGUGCUAAUACGGGAUAAGCUCACGGGGUCUUCGGACCCUGCGGGAAAAGGGGGGGACCUUCGGGCCUUCUGUCAUCAGAUGAGUCUACGUACCAUUAGCUAGUUGGUGGGGUAAAGGCCUACCAAGGCGACGAUGGUUAGCUGGUCUGAGAGGAUGAUCAGCCACACUGGAACUGAGACACGGUCCAGACUCCUACGGGAGGCAGCAGUGGGGAAUUUUGCGCAAUGGGGGAAACCCUGACGCAGCAACGCCGCGUGAGUGAUGAAGGCCUUCGGGUCGUAAAGCUCUGUCAGAGGGAAAGAAGUGUAUUAUGGCUAAUAUCCAUGAUACUUGACGGUACCCUCAAAGGAAGCACCGGCUAA